rnacentral:rRNA from 1 species
UACGUAGGGUGCGAGCGUUGUCCGGAAUUAUUGGGCGUAAAGGGCUCGUAGGCGGUCUGUCACGUCGGGAGUGAAAACUCAGGGCUUAACCCUGAGCCUGCUUCCGAUACGGGCAGACUAGAGGUAUGCAGGGGAGAACGGAAUUCCUGGUGUAGCGGUGAAAUGCGCAGAUAUCAGGAGGAACACCGGUGGCGAAGGCGGUUCUCUGGGCAUUACCUGACGCUCAGGCGCGAAAGCUAGGGGAGCGAACUGG